rnacentral:rRNA from 1 species
UUAGGAAUUUUGCACAAUGGACGAAAGUCUGAUGCAGCGACAUCGCGUGAGGGAUGACGGCCUUCGGGUUGUAAACCUCUUUUAUUUUUUCAUGAAGAAAGAAUGAAUAAGCAACUACUAACUACGUGCCAGCAGUCGCGGUAAUACGUAGGUUGCAAGCGUUACCCGGUUUUAUUGGGCGUAAAGGGUCCGUAGGUUGUCUUUCAAGUCUUGUUUUAAAUACUUCAGCUUAACUGGAGAAAGGGGCAAGAUACUGACUGACUAGAGUUAUAUCGGGGUUACUGGAAUUUUUAGUGUAGGGGUAAAAUCCGUGGAUACUAAAAAGAACACCAAGCGCGAAGGCGGGUAACCAGGUAUAUACUGACACUAAGGGACGAAAGCUAGGGUAGCAAAUCAG